rnacentral:misc_RNA from 1 species
CCAAUAGCGUAUAUUAAAGUUGUUGCAGUUAAAAAGCUCGUAGUUGAAUUUCGGGAUCAGUAGGUCGGUCGUGCCACUGGUAUGAACUGGUCUCACUGGUUCCUCCCUCUUGACGAACUGCAAUGCUAUUAAUUUAGUGUUGUAGGAAAUCAGGACUGUUACUUUGAAAAAAUUAGAGUGUUUAAAGCAGGCUUUGGCUUGAAUACAUUAGCAUGGAAUAAUGAAAUAGGACGUUCGAUCCUAUUUUGUUGGCUUCUAGGAUUGACGUAAUGAUUAAUAGGGACAGUUGGGGGCAUUAGUAUUCAAUUGUCAGAGGUGAAAUUCUUGGAUUUAUUGAAGACUAACUACUGCGAAAGCAUUUGCCAAGGAUGUUUUCAUUAAUCAAGAACGAAAGUUAGGGGAUCGAAGACGAUCAGAUACCGUCGUAGUCUUAACCAUAAACUAUGCCGACUAGGGAUCGGAUGAUGUUAAUUUUUUAAUGACUCAUUCGGCACCUUACG